rnacentral:rRNA from 1 species
GACGAACGCUGGCGGCGUGCUUAACACAUGCAAGUCGAGCGGUAAGGCCCUUUCGGGGGUACGACGAGCGGCGAACGGGUAGAGUAACACGUGGGUGACCUGCCCUCCAGCUCUGGGAGUAAGCCUGGGAAACCGGGUACUAAUACCGGAUAUGACUCCAUGACGCAUGUUGUGGGGUGGAAAGCCUUGUGCGGCUGAGGAUGGGCCCGCGGCCUAUCAGCUUGUUGGUGGGGUGAUGGCCUACCAAGGCGACGACGGGUAGCCGGCCUGAGAGGGCGACCGGCCACACUGGGACUGAGACACGGCCCAGACUCCUACGGGAGGCAGCAGUGGGGAAUCUUGCGCAAUGGGCGAAAGCCUGACGCAGCGACGCCGCGUGAGGGAUGACGGCCUGUGU